CCCUCUCCCAGAACAGGCUCUGUGUACCCAGAGCUGUGGGAUUCCCUGUCCCAAGGCCUCACGCCCACUGUCAGACUCUUUCCCGGAACCUGGAGGCACAGACUUAGACGUGCCAGGUGGCAGAAAGCAUCAGUAGGCUCAAGAAAAAGGGCACUGCUGUAUGAAACGGAACUGUUACGAGCCUGGGACUUUCAAGUUCACACUGCAUAGGUGGUUAUAUAAAGUCUGCUGACAUUAUCCUGUCUUUGAUAGCAAGCCUGGGUGCUUGAAUUGUCAUAAGACUUCCAGAAAGCACUGGGAAAUUGCGUGUUCAGAGAACAAUAAAAUAGCUCACAUA